rnacentral:rRNA from 1 species
GAUGAACGCUGGCGGCGUGCCUAAUACAUGCAAGUCGAGCGAACGGACGAGAAGCUUGCUUCUCUGAUGUUAGCGGCGGACGGGUGAGUAACACGUGGAUAACCUACCUAUAAGACUGGGAUAACUUCGGGAAACCGGAGCUAAUACCGGAUAAUAUUUUGAACCGCAUGGUUCAAAAGUGAAAGACGGUCUUGCUGUCACUUAUAGAUGGAUCCGCGCUGCAUUAGCUAGUUGGUAAGGUAACGGCUUACCAAGGCAACGAUGCAUAGCCGACCUGAGAGGGUGAUCGGCCACACUGGAACGGAGACACGGUCCAGACUCCUACGGGAGGCAGCAGUAGGGAAUCUUCCGCAAUGGGCGAAAGCCUGACGGAGCAACGCCGCGUGAGUGAUGAAGGUCUUCGGAUAGUAAAACUCUGUUAUUAGGGAAGAACAUAUGUGUAAGUAACUGUGCACAUCUUGACGGUACCUAAUCAGAAAGCCACGGCUAACUACGUG